AACAUAAAAAGAAACUUCUGAUUAUUUUAAUAAUGGUUAUUUCAGAAGUAAUGUACUACCAGGUGUACAUUUUGAGUAUUUGUAGAAAGGAGAUGUUUUAAAUUGUUUAUUUGUAAACUAGUGCAUUUGGCCUUUCUUUAUAAACAGAGAUUGGCAAUAUGAUUUAGUAUUCAGGAAGGAACAUGGGCUUGGCCAUGGGUUCAAAUUCUAGUUUCCUCACUUGUUGGAGGUGAAGUUUUAGGAUAGUUUUGUAACCUCUGUGAGCUGUCACCGUUAUUUAUGAAAUAGUACUGAUAAUUACCAUCUUUCAAGGGGAGGUUUAGAGAUAAUCUCCGUACCUGCCUAACAGGGUUUUGUACAUAGGAGCAAAGUAAAGCAAUAGCAACAAUUAUUAAUAUAAGGUUGACUGUGGAAUGGAAUUAGUAUCAUAUGAUACAGUGUGGAUGUUUGGACUCAAAGCACCUCAUUAUCGUGGAGUUUUACUCACAGGGAAACAGAUUGGAAGUAGUAAAGUAUGGCACAAUAUGACCUUUUCUUGUUUAUGUUUAUGUUGCAGCAUUUCAGCAUCAGUACUAAAAUUACUUACAUUCAGGUUAAAUAGUCAAUAUAUUUAUAUAUUUUCCAUCUUUUAUGGACACGGUUUUCUUUUGACAAUUGUUUAAGAUAUCCUAUGUUUGUAUUGGUUGGUUUGAUAAACCUAGCCAAUGGGUAAGGCAAGGUCACAGGAGAGAUUAAAUAUUUGCUUGUAGGACUUAAAUAUUUUCAUAAAAAUAUAACUUUUUAUCCUUAACUUAAACCUGUAAAAAUAAAUAAUUAAAAAUUUUCAUUUGGGCAAUUCCGGGGACGAGGACACAGCCACCCUUCUACCCGGCUGCCCAUGAUCACUUGGUGGCGGAGAUGUCUGCUGCCAGCGCCUGAGGCCUGUGGGCCACCUACCACCGGCUCCUCGACAAAGUGGAGCUGAUACUGCUCGAGAAAUUGAGGCCGUUGUACAACCACCCAGCAGGCCCCAAAACAGUUUUUUGUGCUCUAAUUAUGAAAUGGGGAUUGGUGGGUGCUGGAUUGGCUGAUAUGGCCAGACCUGCAGAAAAACUCAGCACAGCUCAGUCUGCUGUUUUGAUGGCUACAGGGUUUAUUUGGUCAAGAUAUUCACUUGUAAUUAUUCCAAAAAACUUGAGUCUGUUUGCUGUUAAUUUCUUUGUGGGGGCAGCAGGAACCUCUCAACUUUUUCGAAUUUGGAGAUAUAAACAAGAACUAAAAGCUAAAGCAAACCAAUAAAAGAAUUCCUCAUCACCUGAACAUUCUAGAUGUGAACAUAACCACUGGGACCUAGUGGAUUGUUUGAUGAUUGAUAAGGCAAUGUUAACUAUGGUGACAUUUGGAAGGCACCAGAAAAAUCUAACUGUAACUUGUAGCUAGUGUUUGAUUCAACAGAAAAAUAAAGUGAACUUU